rnacentral:rRNA from 1 species
AUGCACCAAACAAUUGUUCGUCGUGCUGGGAGACCUUUGAUCUGCUAUGGUCCAUUGUUUCCUCGGGAACAGGAGAGGAUCCAAAAUCUGAACUACAUCUACAACUGCAAUGACGUCGAGGCUCUGUGGAUGCUUAGGAAGAAAAGAGCACCAUUUCCCAGGCUUGUCGAGACCUUCAGGAGCAGGGGCCUGUUACAAGAUAGCAUCAACACCAGUGUCGAAGAGCAAGUGUCCAUGUUCAUCCAUGUUGUUGGCCAUAACCAUAGGUUCAGGGUCAUUCACAACACAUUCAGGAGAUCAAUGGAGACCAUCUCUAGGUACUUCAAGCAGGUGCUUUUUGCUGUUGGGGAGCUUAGAGGAGAGAUGAUCAGGAGACCAUCUGGCCAGACUCCACCCAAGAUUCGCGGAAGCCCAAGAUGGUAUCCAUACUUCAAGGAUUGCAUUGGGGCAAUA